AUGUGCUUAUAUAAAAUUAUAAGCUUCAUAUUUCUGCUUUUAAAUCCUCCAAAAUGGCCCCAUUCACUUCUGUUGUAAUCAGGGUUUAAUACCUACACUUUUUUUAUUUUUAUUUUUUUUAUUUGUACAACAUAAAUCCAGAAAAUUACGAGCACAAUUACUGUUGUUUAUUUUUAUUUUACUGUUUUUGCAUAAAAAUAGUCUCCACAAACAGAUUCCUCGCCACCAGUCUGCUGAAACCCACAGAUGCCAGGAAAGUAUUCCGUGCUUUGAUGAGCCAGCGCUGAAGGCUGUGUUUCAUAUUACUGUUAUCCACAGACCUGGCACUUCUGCCCUGUCCAAUGAAAUAGGAGGUUAGGAUCCUUACUAGUAAUGCACUGAUCUAACUGUACUGAUAAUAAUGAAAGAUGAUUUCAUAUAGAUAUAUAUAUAGUCCUCCUGUCUCUAAUACAGAUAACAAUAAAUAUCAAAGCAACAAACAGACUGUUGCAAAGGACUUAAAAAAAAUAAAUAAAUAUACAAUCAAGGUAAUAUUGUUCAGUAUAACUUCUAUUUUUGUUUUAUCAUUAGUGCCAGUUAAGACAGAAAUAGAUGGAGAAGAAUGGAUUGUGACUACAUUUGAGAAGACCCCCGUAAUGUCAACUUAUCUGUUGGCUUUCACUGUAUCUGAUUUUACGUAUAUAUCAAAAUCUUCCGGUACUAACAUACAUGUAUGUUUCUUUUAUUUUAAUUUAAGGCACUCUUGCUUAUUAUUUAUUUAUUAAUUUAUUAACAUUUCACAAAUUAUAUGUAUUUCCAAAGAUACAUGCUCGGACUGGGCUAUUGAAGCCGGCCAUGCUGACUACGCAAUUCAAGUAACAGAGAACAUUCUGAAAUACUAUCAGAAUAUAUUUGGAUUGAAAUACCCACUAAAAAAAAUAGGUGAGUCAAUGGAAAGGAACCCCAUUCACUUUUUCAAUGAAUUAUUUUAUUUGCAUGCAUUAAUAUGUGUGGAUGAAGUUUAACACUUAGUAAAAUUAUAAUUUAGCCAUAAAAUUAAAUAAUUUAUUCACCCUCAAAUUGUUCCAAAGAUGUAUGACUUCAUUUUUUAGAGAAAACAUUUUUUAAAAAGUGUUUUUGCAUCUAAACAUUGUAAGUUAAAUAGGGUCCAAGGUUGUUUGGGAGUCCUCUGUCCAUACAAUUUUCAUUGUAUGGACAAAUGCAUCCUUCAAAAUAUCUUCUUUUGUGUUUCACAAAUGAAAAUAAAGGCAGGUUUGGAACAACAUAAAGAUCAGUAAAUGACAAAAUUUUAAUUUUUGUGUGAACUGUCCUAAAUUGAACAGAUUGAACAAGCUAAAAUGAGAGCAUACAAACUCAAGGUUUACAAGAUCACAUGCUGAAUUUGUUUUAUUACAGACCAGAUUGCUUUGCCAGACAUCAGUGCUGGAGCAUUGGAAAACUGGGGUUUCAUUUCAUAUCAGGAGGAAAAUUUUGUCAUUAAUCACAUACCCCCAUGUCGUUCCAAACCCGUAAAAGCUCUGUACGUCUUUGGAACACAAUUUAAGAUAUUUUGGAUGAAAACCUGGAGGCUUGAGACUGUCCCAUAGACUAGAAAAUAAAUAACAGUGUCAAGGUCCAUAAAAGGUAUGAAAGUCGUCGUCAGAAUACUCCAUCUGCCAUCAAACGUGCAAUCUGGGUUAUAUCAAGCGAUGGGAACACUUUUUGUUGUGUAUUGCUUUUAUUCAAUACUUCCUUUGUCAACGGACUGGUCUGUGUCUCUACCUAUCACUGUAUGCUGUGUAUGCUCUUCUGUAUCAUCCACACCACAAGGAUGCGCUGUUUUAUUUCAAAUCAAAGCUAAAUACAUGUAGAAACAGCGCAUCCUUGUGGCACAGAUGACACAAAAGAGCAUACACAGCAUACGGUGAUAGCAAGAGAGACAGAGGAGACCAUUGACAAAGAAAUUAUAGAAUAAAGUCGUUAUUUUUGUUUUCUUCGCUUACAAAAAGUGUUCCCGUCACUACAUAUAACCCAGAUUGCACGUCUGAUGGCAGAUGGAGUAUUCUGACGAUGACUUUCAUACCUUUUAUGGACCUUGACACUGUUAUUUACUUGGCAGUCUAUGGGACAGUCACAGGCCUCCCGGUUUUCAUCCAAAAUAUCUUAAAUUGUGUUCCGAAGACGAACAGAGCUGUUUGGAAUGACAUGGGGGUAAGUGAUUAAUGACAACAUUUUCAUUUUGGGGUGGAGUAUCUGUUUAACCCAUCUAAUUUUGACCAAUCUAAUACUGAAAAACUCUAGGUAUUUAUUUAUUUAUUUUUAUUUAUCAUAUAUUAACAUAAACUAAAAACACUGGGUGGGUAUUGGGCUAUCUGAAGAUUCAUAUACAUAUAUGAUAGGGUCAGUUGUCAUUGAGAUUAACACUGUAUUUGUACAGAUCAUUUGAUAUCCUGGGAUCACUAACAAAAAAAAACAAUGUAGUAAUUACUCUUAUGUUACAAUUAUGGUUGAUGUAGAAGAUCUGAUUGAUUUAGUCAGCUGACCUGUAAGGUUAUUUUCUUUCCUCUUUGACCUUAAUACCUGAACCAGGUAAAAAUGUUACCUAAUGCUACCUUUCAAGUGUAUGUAGAGAAGAUAAUGACAAAUAUUUCCCACAAUGAUCAGGAGACAAAAGAAAAUGUGGAAGCCUUCAUGAGCACAUGGAUUGAGCAAGCGGGGUAUCCAGUAAUCACCAUUAUUACCCAGACGGGGGAGACUUCUCAAGAACAGUUUUUACUAAAGCAAACAGGGGGCCAUGAGUGAGUUUCAAGAAUCAAAUUGCUGUUUAUGUUAGCAUACAAUAGUAUCAUAUUUACUGAAUCAUUUAUGAAACAUGGUACAUAACAGUGAAUUUAAACUACAAUCAAACAAAAAAGCCAAACUACUGUAUCAUAAUAAGUAGCCUAGCUUCCUUUUAUUGAUUCAUUCAAAUAUUGUUAAUUUUCUUCCUAACAGUAUUCCAUGGCAAGUUGACAUCAGAUACAUUAAGUCUACUGAUUUCGCAGUGAAAAACGAGUUACUGAGAGUAAAUGGUCCAGGUAAGGAACAGAUAAACAUUAAAACAUCAUUUCAAAUUAUAAAAAUAAAACUUGGCAAAACAACAGGCAUAAAUCUGCAGUCGCUGUUUUUUGUGAUGAACCCUGCUGCUCAUUCCUGAAUCCUUCCUUACAGUCCGAAGGCCGCACUUUGAACUUAAAGACAAAGAUGAUUGGCUUCUCGCAAAUGUCAACUGCACUGGCUUUUUCCGUGUCAACUAUGAUGAAGAAAACUGGAAUAAGCUCCUUAUGCAACUUGAAAGAAAUCAUAAUGUAAGUAUCUUUGAAGAAUCUGCCACUGUUAGGAUAUGAUGUCAAUGCUCUACCAUGUCAUUUUAAAACAUAAAUUCAACACCCAAAAUAUAAUACCACACAAUUUUUUUCCACUUUCCUGCAACACUGCAGGUUUAAAUGCAUGUUCUUUUAAUUCAGCUACCAAUAUUCUAUUGGUCACCUGGCUUCAAGUGAUUAGAAUUCCAUGGUUUGAAUUUUGAAACGAAAUUUGAAACUUUUUCACACAAGCCUGUGUUUGUGGUCUUCUGCAUUCACAUGUGUAUGAAUGGAAGUCAGUGGAAACAAAAGUAUAGUGUAACCUCUCCGUAAGUGGAGAAAAAUGAAAAAGAACUGUCACAUUCUAAUACUUAAUAGAAGUUUCUAAAUUACAAGCAGAUUUUUGAUACCAAGAGGCCAAAAUGCACAAUCUCCCUCAAUAUUUAGAGUUAAAGUAAACGUCGCACCAAUUUUGCAGUCGGUUCUUAGUUGUUAUUUGGUGUGGAGCUGGGAAUACUGUGUACUUGCAUGAAGUAGGUUUGGUCAUUUACUGAAAAUAUUUAAAAUCCAAGCCCCAGAAUACUGAUGUGAUCAAAAGUGGCUUAAAUCAGUUGUUAAAAUGUUAUUAAUCUAUCUUUAGGUCAUUCCCCUCAUCAACCGAGGGCAACUAAUUGAUGACGCUUUUAAUAUUGCAAGGUAAAAAUUUUUUCAAUUGGCCAAUGUUGUAAAGAAUUAUUUGGCUCGCUCUGAUUUGUUGCUGUAUUUUAACUGAUUAUUUCUAUAUAGGGGUCACCGCCUCAAUGUCACUAUUGCACUAAGUCUAACCAAGUACCUGAUAAAUGAUACUGAGUAUAUUCCAUGGGAGUCAGCACUGAAAAAUCUGGAUCAUUUAAUCCUUAUGUUUGAUCGCUCUGAGGUCUAUGGUCCGAUAAUGGUGAGCAUAAGGAAAUAGUUUUGUGAAUAUAUGCAUAAAACAGUGAAAACUGUGAUACUCACCAUUAACCGUACAAUUCUAUGUCUAGAAAUACCUACGCAAGCAAAUCACACCACUAUAUAAGCACUUUGAGGAGUACACAUUAAAUGGAACCAUUCCUGAGAAACACACUGAGCAGUAAGCAACAUUUGUGUCUUGCUUAAUAUAUAUUUUGUUGGACAUCUAGCAAUCAUUUAUUUUUUCCCUCAGGUAUAACCAGGUAAAUGCUAUUUCAGUAGCCUGCAGCAGUGGCUUUCCUGAGUGCAUAGAAAUGGCUAAAAGUCUAUUCAAAGAUUAUAGAAACGGCACAAAUGAGUGAGUUGCACCUUAAAGAUGAAAUGAAAUUAUUGUCAAUUACAGUUCUACAAGACGCAUAUAAAUAAAUUAUAUUGACUUGAAUUAUCUUUUUACAUUUAGCAUUCAUCCGAAUUUGAGGAGAGCAAUCUACUGCAGUGCAAUAGCUUCCGGAGAUGAGUAUGAUUGGGAAUUUGCUUGGAAAGAAUACCAAAGAGCCACAGUCACUGCAGAGAAAGACAAACUAAGAUACGCCUUAACAUGUACCAAAGAAAUCUGGCUGCUAAACAGGUCAGCGCAGAAAUAUGAGCAUUAUACCAUCUCAGCGGCCCAUUUUGUUUACUUCAUACUGACUACUGAUGUUUGUAAUACCACAGAUAUCUUCAGUACACUCUUGACCCUUCGAAGAUAAGAAAGAUGGAUUUGGUCUCUACCAUAAGCUACAUUGCUAAAAACGUCGCUGGCCAGCCUCUCGCUUGGGAUUUUGUCCGUGGCCAUUGGUACCUACAUCACCAAGAGUA
rnacentral:lncRNA from 1 species